GCCAGCAGCCAUAUCACUCUGCAACUCACAACUAGCAACCCACUGAAGCUAAGCAGGUGUGAGCCUGGUCAGUACCUGAAUGGGAGACCUCCUGGGAAAAACUAAGGUUGCUGCUGGAA
ensembl:rRNA 5S_rRNA 5S ribosomal RNA